rnacentral:miRNA from 1 species
GAAUGUAGUGAAUUUGUUCCA